CAGCUGCGGCGGCGGCAGGCGCGGCCGUUCGGUGGAGCCGCCGGCUCGGCUCUGAUGGAGGCGGCGCCGAAUUCGGCUGCGCUCGUCUCUGCCUUGAACCUUGGAAACAAGUGCUUUCAACAUAAGCGAUGUGAAGGCAUUAAAACAUGUUGAAUGGCUGUGUGCACAGGAUAUCCUACACCUGCCUGACAUCUGGAAUGCAGGUGAAGCAACCUGACCUGAUGGAGCCACCCACACUUUAGAAGAAUCUCAAAUACAGCCAACCCUGAUCUUCCUCAGCUGAAAAUCAUCCAUCUACCAAACUCACAAAUUAAACAUAACGUAAAUAUUAUUACGUUAUGCCUUGUGUUGUGGUGUUAGGCAUGCACAGAUCUGGGUUUAUCCCCUUGUGCUAGACAGUAAGUCACUUGGUUUGAGUCUGUCUGUUUCAGUGACCCUUUUCUCUAAAGCAUUUAGUUAACAUGAUGGCUGACAUCAGCGAGAACUCAGUAAAUGUGGAUUAAAUGAGAAAAUUCAAAAGAAUGAUUACUUACCUUUUUAAAGUUAUCAAUGAAUUCUAUACAAAUAACAACUUAAAGGUCACUAUGUUUCCAGGAAGUUUGGGUGGAGAGCAGAGGAUUGGUUUUCUAGACAGAGAACUUGUUAGACUGAAACAAAUCUUUCUGUGGAAAGUGUUGGGUUGCUGGCCUGAAUCCUGGCUGCUAUAGGGUCCCUGCCUCUUUCUUGGGCCCCUGACCUUAGAAGAAUCUUCCUUCAGAUAAGAAGAGGAGGCAGCUCCAAGUUUACGGCAAACCACCAGCCUCACACACCACUCCCAACCCACCCUUUUUCCAGACUUUAAAACAUCCCAGAAAAGGAUCAUGGUUGCUCCAGCCUGGACCAUGAGCUGCUGAGCAGUCGCUGAAAAUCCCUUCAACAAAAUGACAUAGCUGAUGUGAGUAAAUAGUAAUUCCUUGAAGGAAGAGAAAUUCUAUUUCCAGGGGAAUGACUGCUUGACAGAUAAAAAGAGACACAAGUAUCCCCACAUCUUGGAAUUUGACCUCUAGCCGCCACAAUUGACUAUAUUUGUCAUCACCUUCUUCUUGUCCAGCUGAACUCCUAAACCUGCCACCCCACCCCUAGCUAAGCUAAUAACAUGAAACUGUGCCCCAAAAGAUAGUGAAUAUUUACUGAAAUGCAAAACCAAGAGUUAUAAACUAUAGCCACAGACAAGACUUCUUAAAUGCAGGAAGUUUUGAAUAAGUGGGCACAAGUUAAUACAAUCAAAGAAAAACAAUAUUUGAUAUUUUGGACAUGAGCCCAAUGUGCUGGCGUAUAUGUGUGUGUGAGUGGGCAGGUGGAUGGGGGAAAUCUCACUAAUGAUGGGUGUCAUCAGGAAAGAAAAUCCAAAAACAAAACUACCAUUCAUUUGUACAAUUAACAAUUAGAAAGUGACAAAUGUUUAAUAAUACACUUGGAGUGAUACAUGGUUGUACCUGACCUCAGAAAACUCAUGGCACAACUAAGAAGACAGAGACAUAGACAUAAACAUGUCACAUAGCUUGAGUUCUAGUUGGAGGAUUAAAAGUAUUAUACAAGUACAGAGAUCUAAGAGUUCUGCAGAAGAAAGAUGAUGUUUUAUAAGAAAGUUCCUCGGAGUGGGUCAUUUGAGCUGGGAUUUGAAGGCUAAAUAGGAGUAUGUCAGGUGUGCUUCAUAUCAGCAACUAACAAAAUCAAAGAGACAGAGAAACUGCUGUAGUUGUUAAAGUGACCCCAUCUCUACAAAAACUACAAAAGUUAUCCACGGGUGGUGACACACCCCUGUGGUCCCAGCUACUUAGGGGUGCUGAGGUGGGAGGAUGACUUGAGCCCAGGAGGUUGAGUGUUCAGUGAGCUGUGAUUGUACCACUGCACUCCAGCCUGAGUGACAGAGUGAGACCCUGUGUCAAAGAAAAAAAAAAAAAAAGAAGUGACAGAAAAGUAUAAGUGAUAAGUAGGACAAACCUACCACAUAUUGAAAUAAUAGAAGACAAGCACCUUUUGCUGGAAAAGCAUCACUGCGGGAAGAAUUCCUUCCAUAUAAUUACCAAGAAGUCACUAUUCCAUCAAAUGCAACCGAGAGCCACCGAAGUACCAAGAAAUAAGCAAAUCGGCCUCUAAAAGACCACCACAGCCCACCCCACACAAUCACAUAAAAAUCCAGUUACUAAUGCUUCCACUUUCCUCUCCAGUGAGACUGCUAGAUAUGCUUAUAUCUGACUUUAAAUAUAAUCCUAAUAAAUAUGCUCACCUGAUCUUCCUGUCCACAGCAAAUGGCAAAUAACAAAUCUGGAAAUGUAAGCAGAGUAGCAGCAUUAUGAAAUAACAGCUAAUAUUCCUGCCCUGACCCCAAAGAAAGCAGAACCAAUAGUUUUAAACCUCAGCAGGAAGCAUUCAUUUAAGAAGAAACAGCUCUAUACACAGCUGAGUAGCCACUGGAGGUGUUAUUUUGCUUUGUAUCCUGAUAUUCAUCAAGCAUGUGAGUCUCCAAGAAAAGUUUAGACCUUGUUGAUUAAACAGUAAAGGAUGAUGAGAGGCUUAUUCAGAAGAUUCCCUUUCAGUAUGGUUAAUUGCAGAUUUUUACCAUGUAAAAUAACCAGAUUAAAAAGUCUUCUCAUACCAUACUCCCCUCCUUCCACCUCCAAGCUUUGGUGGGUGCACCUGUUAGGCCUUGCAGUGCCCCUGUGAGCAUGCACCCUCACCACCCUCCUCCAGCUGACCGUAAGUCACUUGAGGGCAAGUCAUUUAUAUUCAUGUAACAUUUAUAGUUUGUCCCCAGUGCUUAGUUCAAAUGCCUUGGCACAUAAUGGGUAUUCAAAAAGGGUUUAUAUAAUGGACAAAGGAAAAUGAAGUGAUUGUAACACUUUUAAAGAAGAUUUAUAUUAAAAAUGAAUGAGCUUCCCACUACACGAACACUUCUUUUGCACUCACCAAUGAAAACUAAAAUUGAUUGAUCAUUUACUAGGUCAGGCACUGUUCCAAGCGUUUCACACAUGUGAAUUUAAUCCUCACCACAGUGCUGUGAAGCAGGCACUAUUAUGUUCCCUAUACCAAGGAGGACAGUGAGGCCCAGACAAUGUGCUGUGCCCAGGCAGGCAGCCGGUAAAUGACAGAGGCUGCCUGCACACUCUGGCAGGCUGGCUCCCAAGCCCAUGCCCUAUCCACUCUGUCAUAUACCUCCAGUGUUAUAUUAUUCAUAGAAGACCAAAAAAAGAAACCUAUGCGACUCACUGCUGCUAAAAGGGGUUGAGAACGUCAGUGUAGCUUCCCCGGUUUACAAAAAAAUCUUAGUGGUUGCACAACGUUGUGAAUGUAUGUAAUGCCACUAAGUUGUACACUUAAAAUAGUUACAAUGGUCAUUUUCAUGUUAUGUAUAUUUUACCACAAUAAAACAUUUCUUUUUAAA
rnacentral:lncRNA from 1 species